rnacentral:siRNA from 1 species
CACUUCAGGGGCAAAUUAGUCCA